rnacentral:rRNA from 1 species
CCCUUAGAUGUUCUGGGCUGCACGCGCGCUACACUGAUGCACUCAACGAGUUUACGACCUUGCCCGAUAGGGUUGGGUAAUCUUUUUAAAAUGCAUCGUGAUGGGGAUAGAUUAUUGCAAUUAUUAAUCUUCAACGAGGAAUUCCUAGUAAGCGCGAGUCAUCAGCUCGUGCUGAUUACGUCCCUGCCCUUUGUACACACCGCCCGUCGCUCCUACCGAUUGAGUGCUCAGGUGAAUAAUUCGGACUGCAGCAAUGUUUGGAUCCCGAACGUUACAGCGGAAAGUUUAGUGAACCUUAUCACUUAGAGGAAGGAGAAGUCGUAACA